rnacentral:rRNA from 1 species
GACGAACGCUGGCGGCGUGCCUAAUACAUGCAAGUCGAACGCAGUGGGGACGGGUGAGUAACACGUGGGUAACCUCCCAUCAGAGGGGAUAACACUUGGAAACAGGUGCUAAACCGAUACUGAUGGAUGGACCCGCGGUGCAUUAGCUAGUUGGUGGGGUAACGGCUCACAAAGGCCACGAUGCAUAGCAGACCUGAGAGGGUGACGGGCCACACUGGAACUGGAAAACGGCCCAGACGCCUACGGGAGGAAGCAGUGGGGAACCUUCGGCAAUGGACGAAAGUCUGACCGGGAAACGCCGCGUGAGUGAAGAAGGUUUGCGGAUCGUAAAACUCUGUUGUUAGGGAAGCGGUAUCUAACCAGAAAGCCACGGCUAACUACGUGCCAGCAGCCGCGGUAAUAC